AAAACAGAAAGCCCCUGCCCAGCGAGCAGCGGUUUCCGCGGGGGCGGAACAAACAGGCAGAGCCAAGUGCGUCCUGGAGGCUUCCCCCGUUGCGAAGGUCUUUCAGGACUGAUUUUGGUGGAAGAAGACAGCAGGCGGUGGGCAUUCACUGUGCUGGUGGGAAGUCUGGUUACAUUAAGAAAGGAAUUCUAGCAAAGUUAUUCUGUAAAUACAACAGAAUCAGUUGCUUUUGUUAAAUAUAUUGGUGCAAGUUCAACAUGGAGGCAAAUCACUGCUCCCUGGGUGUGUAUCCAUCUUACCCAGACCUGGUCAUCGAUGUCGGAGAAGUGACUCUGGGAGAAGAAAACAGAAAAAAGCUACAGAAAACUCAGAGAGACCAAGAGAGGGCGAGAGUUAUACGGGCCGCGUGUGCUUUAUUAAACUCAGGAGGAGGAGUGAUUCAGAUGGAAAUGGCCAACAGGGAUGAGCGUCCCACAGAGAUGGGACUGGAUUUAGAAGAAUCCUUGAGAAAGCUUAUUCAGUAUCCAUAUUUGCAGGCUUUCUUUGAGACUAAGCAACACGGAAGGUGUUUUUAUA
rnacentral:lncRNA from 1 species